GCAAGUCACUCCCACAGUCUCAAAGGAAUUUCAUUUUCUGUAGCCUGGAACAGGUAGCAAGUGCAGUCUUACAAAGUCCUGAGAUGCCUUAUAGGCAUCCUGCUGUCUCUGUGCACAGUACUUAGCAUCUCAUUAAGCACUAUAAUCUCUCCAACAAGCACACUACCUUGGCCCCAGGUUUACAUGCACCAUUCUGGCCAAGUGGAAGUUUUUAAACUCCUUUAGCUCUGCUUUCUGUUCAUGAUUUUCACAGAACCUGGCUAAACACAACCUACAAUAUCCAUGCCACCAAUCAAAUGCUAUGCUGUCUUAAACUUUUAUCCACAGGAUUCAUUAGCCCCUUACUUUUAAAUUCAGCUUCACACAAAUCUCACAGCAGAAAUAGCCAAGUUCUUUGCCAGAAUAUACCAUGAGUAUCCCCUAGUCCAAUUACCAGUUGAGUCCUAAUAUCCCUCUGAAAUCUCAUGUGCAACAGACGCCAUUCCUGUUGGAAUUCUGGUCUUCUGAACUCCCACCAGAAUCACCCAUUAAGUUCUGCUUACAAUGCUCUACAGCUUUUCUAGUUUGCAUCUCUUAACUUUUUCAAAUUAUAUCCUGCCAACCAUUUCCAAAGGCUUCUGAACUAUAUGGUCAAGUUAGUCACAGAACAACUCCAUUUAUUGGUACCAAUUUUACUUUCAAUCACCUUUUGUAUCACCAUAACCAAAACACCCAACAAGAACAACUUGGAGAAGGAAAAGUUUAUUUGGCUCAUGGCUUCAGAGGUCUCGGUCUCUAGAUGACUGAUUCCAUUGCUCUGGGUCCAAGGUGAGGCAGCACAACAUGGGGAAAGGGCCCAGUGGAGAAAAGCUACUCAGCGGAUGGCAGGGUCAGGAAUCAGAGAGAGAGGGAAGGGCUGCAGGAACAACAACCAUUACAGGGCAUUCCUCCAGUGACCUCUCUUCUCUAGCCAUACCUCACUGCUUGCAGUUGCCACCCAGUGAGUCCGGUCAUACUGACGGAUUACAUACUCUCAUAAUGUAUUCCUUUCAUCUCUGAAUAUCUUUGCAUUAACAGAAGCUUUUGGAAACACCUCAUAUUCAAACCGUAACACCCUUUAGCCCUCUGAAACCUAUGUUGUAAGGGAACCAAAGUGAAAACUUUACCCAGCUAGGCAGGAUAGAGUCUCAUUUUCGGUUUAUAUGGAAGUGAGACUAUCUGUACAAUAUUCAUGUGAGCACCAUUUUAUCAAUGAAAAAUCAUUUGGACCAGAUGUUAAACUAAAGGACAAACCUCUGGGUUUCAUGUGAGAUAAACAUACUUGGGUUGAUUUGGUUUUCUGUAUAUGGUCUUUUAAUUAGUCAUUUGAUGCUAAUUUCCCCAGGGAGUAGGUUAUAAAUAAUUAUUACCUUUGUAUCACAACUAACCCUGUUGAAGUCUUGUAAAAAAUUGCCUAUGUAUUGAUUGUUUCAUUCAGUCUUGAAAGCCACCCUUUCUUCUAGGAUUGUAGGUAUGAACUUCAUUUUAUCAUUUGUUGAAUUCCCCCAAGGUCUUUAGUCAGGCUAUUGCUGGUUAAUUAUUUGUUUUCAAGCAUAUAAAGCAUAUAGCCUUUCUUAUUUUUUUAUUUACAAGGUCAGCAUACUUCUGUCUGAAUAUGACAGUGGUUCAUGCAAAACCAAAUACAGGAAAUAUUCUACUUCACUUUUACAGUAGUUUCUGUAUUUUUGAAAACUUUUGGAAAAAAUCCCACAACAAUGUUUCUACCAGUUGAGUGCCUAUCAAACUUCAAGUCCUGCAACCUACCACUUCUACCAACAUCAAAUCCAUUUUUAACUUGUUAUUGCUUCAUAUGAAAUAAAGUCUUCCUCACAGAGUUUUUGGAAUGUUUAGACAUUAUACAUGUGGUAUGCUGUGUACAUGUUUU
rnacentral:lncRNA from 1 species